UACGUAGGGUGCAAGCGUUGUCCGGAAUUAUUGGGCGGAAAGAGCUCGUAGGCGGUUUGUUGCGUCGGCUGUGAAAUCCCGAGGCUCAACCUCGGGUCUGCAGUCGAUACGAGCAAACUAGAGUGUUGCAGGGGAGACUGGAAUUCCUGGUGUAGCGGUGAAAUGCGCAGAUAUCAGGAGGAACACCGGUGGCGAAGGCGGGUCUCUGGGCAACAACUGACGCUGAGGAGCGAAAGCGUGGGGAGCGAACAGG
rnacentral:rRNA from 1 species